UAAGGAGGGUGCAAGCGUUAAUCGGAAUUACUGGGCGUAAAGCGCACGCAGGCGGUCAAUUAAGUCAGAUGUGAAAGCCCCGAGCUUAACUUGGGAAGUGCAUCUGAAACUGGUUGGCUAGAGUCUUGUAGAGGGGGGUAGAAUUCCAUGUGUAGCGGUGAAAUGCGUAGAGAUGUGGAGGAAUACCGGUGGCGAAGGCGGCCCCCAGGACAAAGACUGACGCUCAGGUGCGAAGGCGUAGGCGGCAAACGGG
rnacentral:rRNA from 1 species